AUGUGUCUAUAUCAUAGUAGUCUUCUCCCUCUUCACAAUAAAAUUUGAAUAAGUUCCCAGUGCAUUAUAUCUCUACCAAAUCAAACCCAAUUUGCCCCAUAAUUGUGCCAGACAGGUACAAUUUUGUCAAGAGUAUCUGUCUUUGCUGCAUAUAGGAUUAAUUGUACACAAGUCCUCUAAUGUGUAAUAGGAUGGUUAAGUUUAUCAGUGAAAGCAAUUUUUUCCUCCGCCAACUUUUUGUUUAUCAGUGAUAUGCAUGAGAUGGUUACUGCUGCUUGUUAUACACCCGAUGGUCAGAGUGCACUGGUUGGUUCUUACAAGGGCAGUUGCCACUUAUAUAACAUAUCAGAAAAUAAGUUGCAACAAAAAAGUCAGAUCAAUCUGCAGAACAAGAAGAAGAAAUCACAUCUCAAAAAAAUUACAGGUUUCCAGUUUGCCCCAGGAAGUUCAUCAGAGGUACUUAUCACAUCUGCUGAUUCAUGAAUUCGGGUUGUUGAUGGUGUUGAUCUGGUUCACAAGUUUAAAGAAACCUGAAGAAGGAUCAGUCAGUCAUAGAGUACAGCAAUUGGCAAAGUACAGGUUUCUGAAGUUUUCUUGCAGCUUGGAUCCACUUGUUUCUUACCUUUCUAUCAACUAUCUAGACCGGUUCUUGUCCAACCAUGGGAUACUGAAACAAAAGGCAUGGGCCCUUAGGCUGCUUGCAAUUUCUUGCAUUUCUUUAGCACCCAAGAUGAUAAAGCCAGGGUACUCUGCCAUUGAUACUCAGGUUUCACUUACACAGGCAAGAAUAGAUAUGAGUGAACUCGAUGAGGACUAUGAUGGUUUCUUUCAGCCACAUCUAUAUUGAUAUGCUUGAUAACAAUCCGGAUAUGUAGUGCAAUGAGAUCUUGGAGCAAUUCAUAAAGACAAGGGGUUAUUCUGAAUUAUUUGUAAAAGCAUAUCUUAUUUGCGUGGAGACUGGAGAAGAAGAUGAAGAAGAAAGAAAGGUUGUUGUUGUGAAUGAGAAAGGAAGAGAAGUGAGAUCUGCGUUUAGUUAUAUGUUUUUUUUUUUAAUUUUUGUUUAAGAGUAAAAUUGUCCAAAAAAUAUUGUUCAUGAACAAAAGGAUGAUUUUAUAACGUUUUGUAACGUUGAGGA